GACGAACGCUGGCGGCGUGCUUAACACAUGCAAGUCGAACGGAAAGGCCCUGCUUUUGUGGGGUGCUCGAGUGGCGAACGGGUGAGUAACACGUGAGUAACCUGCCCUUGACUUUGGGAUAACUUCAGGAAACUGGGGCUAAUACCGGAUAGGAGCUCCUGCUGCUCGGUGGGGGUUGGAAAGUUUCGGCGGUUGGGGAUGGACUCGCGGCUUAUCAGCUUGUUGGUGGGGUAGUGGCUUACCAAGGCUUUGACGGGUAGCCGGCCUGAGAGGGUGAGCGGCCACAUUGGGACUGAGAUACGGCCCAGACUCCUACGGGAGGCAGCAGUGGGGAAUAUUGCACAAUGGGCGGAAGCCUGAUGCAGCAACGCCGCGUGCGGGAUGACGGCCUUCGGGUUGUAAACCGCUUUCGCCUGUGACGAAGCGUGAGUGACGGUAAUGGGUAAAGAAGCACCGGCUAACUACGUG
rnacentral:rRNA from 1 species